rnacentral:tRNA from 1 species
GGAGUUGUGGCUCAGUGGUAGAGUGCUUGCCUAGCAUGCAUGAGGCCCUGGGUUCUAUUCUCAGCACCCCCC